GACUCGUCACACUAUCAUUAACUGAAUCCAUAGGUUAAUGAGGCGAACCGGGGGAACUGAAACAUCUAAGUACCCCGAGGAAAAGAAAUCAACCGAGAUUCCCCCAGUAGCGGCGAGCGAACGGGGAGGAGCCCAGAGCCUGAAUCAGCAUGUGUGUUAGUGGAAGCGUCUGGAAAGGCGCGCGAUACAGGGUGACAGCCCCGUACACAAAAGCGCAUGUGCUGUGAGCUCGAUGAGUAGGGCGGGACACGUGGUAUCCUGUCUGAAUAUGGGGGGACCAUCCUCCAAGGCUAAAUACUCCUGACUGACCGAUAGUGAACCAGUACCGUGAGGGAAAGGCGAAAAGAACCCCGGCGAGGGGAGUGAAAAAGAACCUGAAACCGUGUACGUACAAGCAGUGGGAGCACCCUUUGGGGUGUGACUGCGUACCUUUUGUAUAAUGGGUCAGCGACUUAUAUUCUGUAGCAAGGUUAACCGUAUAGGGGAGCCGGAGGGAAACCGAGUCUUAAUUGGGCGUUAAGUUGCAGGGUAUAGACCCGAAACCCGGUGAUCUAGCCAUGGGCAGGUUGAAGGUUGGGUAACACUAACUGGAGGACCGAACCGACUAAUGUUGAAAAAUUAGCGGAUGACCUGUGGCUGGGGGUGAAAGGCCAAUCAAACCGGGAGAUAGCUGGUUCUCCCCGAAAGCUAUUUAGGUAGCGCCUCGUGAAUUCAUCUCCGGGGGUAGAGCACUGUUUCGGCUAGGGGGCCAUCCCGGCUUACCAACCCGAUGCAAACUGCGAAUACCGGAGAAUGUUAUCACGGGAGACACACGGCGGGUGCUAACGUCCGUCGUGAAGAGGGAAACAACCCAGACCGCCAGCUAAGGUCCCAAAGUCAUGGUUAAGUGGGAAACGAUGUGGGAAGGCCCAGACAGCCAGGAUGUUGGCUUAGAAGCAGCCAUCAUUUAAAGAAAGCGUAAUAGCUCACUGGUCGAGUCGGCCUGCGCGGAAGAUGUAACGGGGCUAAACCAUGCACCGAAGCUGCGGCAGCGACACUCAGGUGUUGUUGGGUAGGGGAGCGUUCUGUAAGCCUGUGAAGGUGGCCUGUGAGGGUUGCUGGAGGUAUCAGAAGUGCGAAUGCUGACAUAAGUAACGAUAAAGCGGGUGAAAAGCCCGCUCGCCGGAAGACCAAGGGUUCCUGUCCAACGUUAAUCGGGGCAGGGUGAGUCGACCCCUAAGGCGAGGCCGAAAGGCGUAGUCGAUGGGAAACGGGUUAAUAUUCCCGUACUUGGUGUUACUGCGAAGGGGGGACGGAGAAGGCUAUGUUGGCCGGGCGACGGUUGUCCCGGUUUAAGCGUGUAGGUGUGUGUUCCAGGUAAAUCCGGUUCACUUUAACACUGAGGCGUGAUGACGAGGCACUACGGUGCUGAAGCAACAAAUGCCCUGCUUCCAGGAAAAGCCUCUAAGCAUCAGGUAACAUCAAAUCGUACCCCAAACCGACACAGGUGGUCAGGUAGAGAAUACCAAGGCGCUUGAGAGAACUCGGGUGAAGGAACUAGGCAAAAUGGUGCCGUAACUUCGGGAGAAGGCACGCUGACACGUAGGUGAAGUGAUUUACUCAUGGAGCUGAAGUCAGUCGAAGAUACCAGCUGGCUGCAACUGUUUAUUAAAAACACAGCACUGUGCAAACACGAAAGUGGACGUAUACGGUGUGACGCCUGCCCGGUGCCGGAAGGUUAAUUGAUGGGGUCAGCGCAAGCGAAGCUCCUGAUCGAAGCCCCGGUAAACGGCGGCCGUAACUAUAACGGUCCUAAGGUAGCGAAAUUCCUUGUCGGGUAAGUUCCGACCUGCACGAAUGGCGUAAUGAUGGCCAGGCUGUCUCCACCCGAGACUCAGUGAAAUUGAACUCGCUGUGAAGAUGCAGUGUACCCGCGGCAAGACGGAAAGACCCCGUGAACCUUUACUAUAGCUUGACACUGAACAUUGAGCCUUGAUGUGUAGGAUAGGUGGGAGGCUUUGAAGUGUGGACGCCAGUCUGCAUGGAGCCGACCUUGAAAUACCACCCUUUAAUGUUUGAUGUUCUAACGUGGACCCGUGAUCCGGGUUGCGGACAGUGUCUGGUGGGUAGUUUGACUGGGGCGGUCUCCUCCUAAAGAGUAACGGAGGAGCACGAAGGUUGGCUAAUCCUGGUCGGACAUCAGGAGGUUAGUGCAAUGGCAUAAGCCAGCUUGACUGCGAGCGUGACGGCGCGAGCAGGUGCGAAAGCAGGUCAUAGUGAUCCGGUGGUUCUGAAUGGAAGGGCCAUCGCUCAACGGAUAAAAGGUACUCCGGGGAUAACAGGCUGAUACCGCCCAAGAGUUCAUAUCGACGGCGGUGUUUGGCACCUCGAUGUCGGCUCAUCACAUCCUGGGGCUGAAGUAGGUCCCAAGGGUAUGGCUGUUCGCCAUUUAAAGUGGUACGCGAGCUGGGUUUAGAACGUCGUGAGACAGUUCGGUCCCUAUCUGCCGUGGGCGCUGGAGAACUGAGGGGGGCUGCUCCUAGUACGAGAGGACCGGAGUGGACGCAUCACUGGUGUUCGGGUUGUCAUGCCAAUGGCACUGCCCGGUAGCUAAAUGCGGAAGAGAUAAGUGCUGAAAGCAUCUAAGCACGAAACUUGCCCCGA
rnacentral:rRNA from 1 species